CCCACAUGGGGUCCAAGAGUGGGCUGGGGAGCCAGCAAUUCUUGCAGUGCAAUCUUACCUCUUCAGAGAUGAUGAUUUUGGGAAAAAGCCACCAACAGGGUUAACUAUUCCACUGAACCAUGUUCCUCAGUGCCACAUCUACCCAUUCCUUGAACACCUCCAGGGAUGGUGGCUCCACCACCUCCCUGGGCAGCUUGUGCCAGUGCAUUACCAUUCUUGCUGAGAAGAAAUUUUACCUGAUAUCCAACCUUAACCUCCCCUGGCACAACUUAAAGCCAUUAGCUCUUGUCCUGUCUGUCAGUGAACAAGGUCAUUGUUGUCUGGAGGAUACUACGAGCUCUAUGAAUACAAAAACUUCAGUGCAUAAGCCAACAUUCUGUUAUGUGGGAGACUGACAGGAAGCCCAGUGUGAAAUGUUCUGAAAUAUCUUUUGUGCCCACAGUACUGGAUGACAGUAUUGUGUCCUCUGAAAGGAAUAGGAGAAAAAAAAUGCACCUUCAGACCCAAUACCUGAAGAGGCAAUGUUUUACUCAUCAGGGCAAGAAGACUCCAGCACUUAGAAGGCAAAAUAAAUCCUGGUGAGAGAAAUUGCUCUCUCUCUAUAGAGACAUGCCUACAGACACAGCAGCCUGGGCAGCUGUGGAGAGAGGAGACAGGAGGACCGUGGGUCAGUUGUUGAGUGUGUGAGAUGGACUGGGCCUGGCUCCAAAGGCUGCUUGUUUAACUGACGCUUUAUGGAGUAUCCUGAGACUCAUCUUUCUCUGAAGCCUCCUUAAAGGAGUUGUAUUCUUUUAUGAUUUUGUCUUCCCUUGGGCUAGGUUUACACAUAUAUUAAGGACAGAGAAAACAGCAUUGCUGAUGAACCUUGUGUUUGCUGUGGAUGCAUUGUGGGUUUUUUUUUUUUUCAUUUAGGAUAUUGUAAAUGUCUGGCUCUCAAUGGAGCUCUCAGAUGAGCUACCCUCAUUACACUGUUAUUGUUACUCUUUUGUCUUUGUAUCUCUUUUGUGUAUUGCAGCUUGUGUGAACAUUUCAAUAAAAUACCAG
ensembl:lncRNA